UCAUAGCUAAAGAGCCUCAGGAGAGUUUGGGGAAGCAUCAGAGUAAAGGUGGCUUUCAACAAGAUAUCUCAUUAUCUGGGGCUCCACGAGAUGGAUUGCACCCUCCUAGGUCACAAAGAAAAAUCAUGAUACACCUGGUAACAGAGUGGGGAUGCAAAACGCCCCCACCCUGAACAUCUUCUGCCCCAAAGGAGACUACCCUGUCUGCAGCAGAACACAACCCUGGACAUCUCCCUGAAGCCCAAGGCUCCAGAGACAAUGGCAUUACGGAAUGGGGGGAUCACACCGAGAAGCAUCUGCGAGUGACUGCACAGCUCGCGGGAAGGCAGCUUCAGUCAGCCCCGGCUUGUGCUUCGCAGACAAGGGAAACUGAGGCAGGACAGCACCCUGGACAGUGCAGAGCAUUUUCCCUGCAGGGAGAAAAGAGAGGAGUUUGGACAGAGCAACAACGGAGACGUGCAGGGGAGCAGCCUCUUACUGGUGAUGACACCACAGAGACAAUAAAUGACCUGGAUG